rnacentral:lncRNA from 12 species
CUCAAUGGUUAAAAAGGACUUUUAACUGUAACAGAGAGUUUGAGGGUUAACACACCAAAAACAAGGAUAACAAUGCCUUAAUGUGAACUUCCAUGAGUCAGCAAAAGCAAUUACUUUCCUUUCCAGAAGCAGGGAUGCAGUAGGGUUAGGAAAACUACUUGUAUAUUACAUUCAGGUCCACAAGUUCAAAACCAAGUCAAAGGAACCACCCUUGAGUAUACACUCAGUUUAGUGUCAGCAUGGCAAUAUUGUUUUAUGAUUCCAAGAUCUGUAAAUUUCCCUAUUUAUUUCAUGGCUUGUUAUAUCAUAUUUAAACUCAAUAUCUUCAUUUUCCCUUAAUUAACACAUUUGAGCCAAGAGUUUUCUAUGGACAUCGACCAAUCUCACGGAGUCAUUAGUACUUACAGUCCCCCUCGUUAUGUUAAUAACCCUUAAGUAGAAGAUAAACAGGUUUUCAAGGAUGGUGGUGUGUUCAUGAAUCUAUAUUUACUUCUCAAAAACAUCUGCAUGCAAAAGGCCCCAUUUACUACAAAUUUCAAAGCCAAUUCACCUUGCCAGCUUGCAUAGCUCUCCUGCAUUUCAUUUUAGCCCUUAAAUAACACUGGUGACAAAUUGGAAGGCAGCUGAAGUUUGACAUUGCCAUUGUUACAUGUAAAUUAGACUGACUGCAUGGCCAUCAGACAUGCUACCAAUGAGCAUUCAGUCCAUUGUGUGAUGGUACAACAGCUAGACAAAGCAGAGAAAGAUGUGUGCUGGGAAUGAGCAAAUCCCAUAUGCUGUGCUGUGGGAUUAUUCUACAUGCCACACUACAGGCCAUGUCUGGGAGACAGGAGGCAUGGUAGGAGCCUGUGGUCUUUGCCUCUCCCCCAGUGUCUCCAGUGGUCUAUGCUGUGACUAUCCCCUGGCAGCCUGGCUCCAAAACCGAAGGAACCGCAGCACCAGUUUCAGAGACCAGGAGUCUGGCAGCACCCUCAAAUCAAAAGACGCUGCAUUUUUGUUCAGCAGAUCCACUGCUGCAAUUACAUGAGGACUGGACUCAAGGUAGAUUUGAAGCAGGGUGAGAAACAUUCCCUGCGUGAACUUCCUGUCUCGUCCAGCAGAGGUCCUCCAACAGUGGCUUUCAGCAGCCUGCUGAUCUUUUUCUUCAUGGACCAAAACCUGCAGGGCCUUUUUGUGUUUACCAGACUUCCCGAACUUCCCGUUCAUUUAUGAAAAACUGAUAGUAAAGGGGUCAUGUAAUAUAUUAUUACAAAGUUAUAAUAUUAUAUUAUAAUAUAAUAUUAAAUUGCUUUUUUGCUGUUGUGCCUUUGAAAAACUUCUCAUGUUGUAUGAGAAGCAGUUUUACACACUUACACACAUUUUACUCUCAUCAUUGGUUCUUCUGGGACCAUAUUACAAAAACAUCCAAUGUAGAGUCCUAUCUGUUUAGUAGUCAUGGUGAUUUCUGUUUGAAACUUGUUAGGUCUUAAUUUGAGACUAAACUUUCUGUAAUUCGUGCCCUAAGACUUAGACAUAAUAGCAUUUAUUCUGCUUUCUUCUUAUUACAUCACUAUAAAUGUCUGGGUGUAGAAUUUGAUUGUCCAGUUCUGAAGUGUAAACGUGGACAGUCAGGUGUGGAUGAGAUGCCACAAAACUGCAGAAGUUCAGAACGAGUCGUUUUUAUAACUUAGUUUCACUAAAUAUCUUAAUGAAAUUGUCUAAGUUUAAGUAGCACCCCCCCCCCACCCCCUAAAAAACAAUUUAUAAAUACUUUUUUAAAAAUAAAAUGAACAAAAUGACCAAAAAUGAAACUGAAAUUAAACUAAAACCUAUAAAAUAAAAGCUAAUUAAAAAUAUUAAUAAAAACAGCAUAUAAAUAAUAUUAAAAUAACACUGUUCAAAAUAUAAAAGCUAUUUUAUAUUUCAAAACAUCAGUGUAAAUUUGACUCCCGAUGACCCCUUUAAAACAGUCAUUACCAAUAGCAUAACAAAGUCAUAGCAACUGGGUAGUUGGUGAGAAUGGUAAGGACUUCUUCCACUGACAUCAGCUACCAUGGGGGCACCAUCCACAUCCAACCCCCACCCACUGGAGAGCAAUUUCAAUAAAGGUUUCAAAUUAAUUUCUGCAUAGAGGACCAUAUUUUUUCUAUUGUACAUUCUAUAAAGUAAUGACUCAUUCAGUUUUAGACAGUAUGUUGCCAAGAAUGAACACAUUCGACACUUAAAAAUGGGUUUCAGUUGAAUGUAACUAAAUUACAAAAAAAAAUACUAUUCAUGUAGAACUGAAACAGGUAUGUCAAACAUGUAAAAGAAAGUAAUUCAGUUUUUGUAAAGCCAUCAACUGUUAGUAUUUUGACACUGUGCUAUGAUUGACUAUAUGUUCCUAUUGGAUAGAAAAGUAGUGCUAAUGUUUUGUCCAAAUGACUUGAUUUUGAAUUGGGUUUGCUGUGUUUUGAUAGAGUUAGUAUAUGUAGAAAAAGGUAUUCAGCAUUUUGAAAUGUAGAGUUUUUAUUUAACAAAAUGUGGUUUUGGCCAGAAAAUUUACAGUUUGGCUAAUUGUGUGAUGUAGGUGUGUUGCUGUGUUAAGAGUUUAGAAAAAGUACUUUAAGUAUUGGUAAACACUUGUUAGCAACUGAAAAAAACUGUAAAAUGGACAAUAAUGUAUUUUAAGCUGUAAUAUUAUUUCAGAAUAUUACUGCUUUAACUGUAUUUUUGAUUAAAUAAAUGCAGCUUUGGUGAGCAUAAGACACUUCUUUCAAAGAUAUUUAAAAAAAAAACUUACCAAACCCAAGCUUUUGAUGAAUAGUGUAUUAUAGUAUGGUUGUUCCUAGUGUCUUAGAGCAAAUUCUAGAUACAUAAUGGUGUUUCUUUCACAGCAAAGCUAGACUUAAUGAAAUCUGUAUAACUCUGACCUCUGCUGUUGAUAAACAGACUAUGACAGUUAAAAUGCUUGCCUCUUGGUCUCUCUGGAGAACCCAGUCAACAAAUUUCCAGAUGAUGGGUUUAUGAUCCAGAUUUGAGAAGGUGUUAACUAUGUGCUGGAAUACGCUGAUGUGUGAGGGGUCCUCGCUCUGCUCCUCCAAAAUUUUAACCCAGGUCUUAAAAAAAAAAAGAAAAAGAAAUUUUCUUUCCUUUCUGAUUCAUCUUUAGUCAUUGCUCUGUGGAUUUUUCAGUGAUUCAAAGUUUCCUGAAUUGCAUUGAAAUGCUGGCCUUGACUUUGAUAGAGCAAACCAAAUGUGAAAAACCUGAAAUGACAGCAAAUUAGUUUGGCUUCUCACUAGAAAAUAACCUGUAAACGCUGAAGUAGCCUUAAAGGGUUAGUGGGUGAACUUACGCUUUAAAUGAUGAGCACAAACCAAAAAAAGGCAGGCACACACAUUUGGAGGUUACAGUUAUUCUGCGACGGUGCAAGUUGGUCCAGUUUUCCAUAUUCACCUUGUUCCAAAUACAGCUAAAAAAGUGCUGAGUCAAAGUCCUGAGGACACAUUUGGCCCUGUUCUGUUGGCCUGACUUCUUUCAAGAAAUCAUCCAAAAAGAUUAGGUAUUGUUGAAAUGUCAGCCAGUUGUCUUGACUUAAUUUCAACAAGUGCUUGGCAUUGACUGCUGACUGCUGUUGUCUGAGGUGUAAAGUCUUCACUCAUAACAGCCAUAGCUGGAUAAAGGCUCAUGAUUUCCCUUGGGUCUAAUUCACCUUUACUGGAAAAUAAAAGAUUAUACUGAAAAGGUGUUGAAUUUUGAAACAAUUUUCACACAGAAAUUGCUAGUUGAAGCAUUACUUACAUAAAAAGUUAUUCUGCAUCCACAAAAGCCUCUCUGUAAAACUUUAUCAUUCCAGAAAAUCCUAAAAGUAAAGUGAUGAGUGGCAUAAAUCACGCUAAAUGUGAUGCAAUUGCUUAAAUAUAGUAGUUAUAUAUAAAUAGACAGACAGACAGACAGACAGAGAGACAGAUAGACAGAUUUAAUUCUUAAAUCAUGUAGCAUAUUUGAUGUGAGCUCUUAUAUUCAGUCUCUGUGUGUCUCUGUGAUCUUUGUUUAAUACUACUGUAAGAUGAUUUUCAUCUUGCUGAAAUGACAUCUG